AGUGAACGCUGGCGGUAGGCCUAACACAUGCAAGUCGAACGGCAGCACAGUAAGAGCUUGCUCUUACGGGUGGCGAGUGGCGGACGGGUGCGGAAUACAUCGGAAUCUACUUUUUCGUGGGGGAUAACGUAGGGAAACCUACGCUAAUACCGCAUACGACCUACGGGUGAAAGCAGGGGAUCUUCGGACCUUGCGCGAUUGAAUGAGCCGAUGUCGGAUUAGCUAGUUGGCGGGGUAAAGGCCCACCAAGGCGACGAUCCGUAGCUGGUCUGAGAGGAUGAUCCGACACACUGGAAGUGAGACACGGUCCAGACUCCUACGGGAGGCAGCAGUGGGGAAUAUUGGACAAUGGGCGCAACCCUGAUCCAGCCAUACCGCGUGGGUGAAGAAGGACUUCGGGUUGUAAAGCCCUUUUGUUGGGAAAGAAACGCAGCAGGUUCAGACCCCGCUGUUCUGACGGUACCCAAAGAAUAAGCACCGGCUAACUUCGUG
rnacentral:rRNA from 1 species